AUCAGCUUGCUGAUUUGCUGACGAGUGGCGGACGGGUGAGUAAUGUCUGGGAAACUGCCUGAUGGAGGGGGAUAACUACUGGAAACGGUAGCUAAUACCGCAUAACGUCGCAAGACCAAAGAGGGGGACCUUCGGGCCUCUUGCCAUCGGAUGUGCCCAGAUGGGAUUAGCUAGUAGGUGGGGUAACGGCUCACCUAGGCGACGAUCCCUAGCUGGUCUGAGAGGAUGACCAGCCACACUGGAACUGAGACACGGUCCAGACUCCUACGGGAGGCAGCAGUGGGGAAUAUUGCACAAUGGGCGCAAGCCUGAUGCAGCCAUGCCGCGUGUAUGAAGAAGGCCUUCGGGUUGUAAAGUACUUUCAGCGGGGAGGAAGGGAGUAAAGUUAAUACCUUUGCUCAUUGACGUUACCCGCAGAAGAAGCACCGGCUAACUCCGUGCCAGCAGCCGCGGUAAUACGGAGGGUGCAAGCGUUAAUCGGAAUUACUGGGCGUAAAGCGCACGCAGGCGGUUUGUUAAGUCAGAUGUGAAAUCCCCGGGCUCAACCUGGGAACUGCAUCUGAUACUGGCAAGCUUGAG
rnacentral:rRNA from 1 species